GGGCCCGUGGCGGAACAGGUAUACGCAGGGGACUUAAAAUCCCUGGCCGUAAGGCUUGCAGGUUCGAUUCCUGCCGGGCCCA
rnacentral:tRNA from 1 species